AUCCGCCCAGGGUUAGUCGGAACCUAAGCCGAGGCCGAAAGGCGUAGGCGAUGGACAACCGGUCAACAUUCCGGUACUACCAGAUUAUCGUUUUAAGUGAUGGGGGGACGCAGGAAGGUAGGUGGAGAAU
rnacentral:rRNA from 1 species